rnacentral:rRNA from 1 species
CACGGAGGAUGCAAGCGUUAUCCGGAAUGAUUGGGCGUAAAGCGUCCGCAGGUGGCUAUGUAAGUCUGCUGUUAAAGAGCAAGGCUCAACCUUGUAAAGGCAGUGGAAACUACAUGGCUAGAGUGCGUUCGGGGCAGAGGGAAUUCCUGGUGUAGCGGUGAAAUGCGUAGAGAUCAGGAAGAACACCGGUGGCGAAAGCGCUCUGCUAGGCCGCAACUGACACUGAGGGACGAAAGCUAGGGGAGCGAAUGGG